UUUAUUUAUUUAAUAUGGAUAUUAGACAAAAAAUGAACCGCAUUAACAAGUUUGGAAAAUCCGGUUUUGAUUUGUAUUGCGAUCUUUAAUUUAGAACUUAUUGGAAGUUUAUGUGGUUUGGUCCGCGAUUCGUAAUUAAUUUCUGGACCGUGGACGUACGCCACAAUUUGGCAUUAGGCGUGCAAGUUUCGUAUGCAAACUGUGUUUGUAACGCGUCGAUAACUGCAAUUUAGGACGAGGAACAAGAAGCAAAGCAGUCCGCUUUUAGUUCGCGGUGCCUGAGAACGAUGACGAUUUAUGGAAAAUUGGUUGAGCAUCUUGUGGGGGCCUGAAAGUGAAUUAAUCAGAAAAGAUAAUGUAGAUAUACCGUAGAUGGGGCGAAUAUACUUGUAAAAUCACCCUAUGUCCAAAGUGCUAGUUAGUAAUUCAAGUGUAAUGUGAUAAUAAAAAAUUGAUUAUCUAGUCUAA